GAUGAACGCUGGCGGCGUGCCUAAUACAUGCAAGUCGAGCGAACAGACGAGGAGCUUGCUCCUUUGACGUUAGCGGCGGACGGGUGAGUAACACGUGGGUAACCUACCUAUAAGACUGGGAUAACUUCGGGAAACCGGAGCUAAUACCGGAUAAUAUUUCGAACCGCAUGGUUCGAUCGUGAAAGAUGGCUUUGCUAUCACUUAUAGAUGGACCUGCGCCGUAUUAGCUAGUUGGUAAGGUAACGGCUUACCAAGGCAACGAUACGUAGCCGACCUGAGAGGGUGAUCGGCCACACUGGAACUGAGACACGGUCCAGACUCCUACGGUAGGCAGCAGUAGGGAAUCUUACGCAAUGGGCGAAAGCCUGACAGAGCAACGCCGCGUGAGUGAUGAAGGUCUUCGGAUCGUAAAACUCUGUUAUUAGGGAAGAACAAAAGUGUAAUUAACUGUGCACGUCUUGACGGUACCUAAUCAGAAAGCCACGGCUAACUACGUG
rnacentral:rRNA from 1 species